rnacentral:rRNA from 1 species
GACGAACGCUGGCGGCGUGCCUAAUACAUGCAAGUAGAACGCUGAAGGAGGAGCUUGCUCUUCUGGAUGAGUUGCGAACGGGUGAGUAACGCGUAGGUAACCUGCCUGGUAGCGGGGGAUAACUAUUGGAAACGAUAGCUAAUACCGCAUAAGAGUAGAUGUUGCAUGACAUUUGCUUAAAAGGUGCAAUUGCAUCACUACCAGAUGGACCUGCGUUGUAUUAGCUAGUUGGUGGGGUAACGGCUCACCAAGGCGACGAUACAUAGCCGACCUGAGAGGGUGAUCGGCCACACUGGGACUGAGACACGGCCCAGACUCCUACGGGAGGCAGCAGUAGGGAAUCUUCGGCAAGGGACGGAAGUCUGACCGAGCAACGCCGCGUGAGUGAAGAAGGUUGUCGGAUCGUAAAGCUCUGUUGUAAGAGAAGAACGAGUGUGAGAGUGGAAAGUUCACACUGUGACGGUAUCUUACCAGAAAGGGACGGCUAACUACGUG